CACGUAGGGUGCGAGCGUUGUCCGGAAUUAUUGGGCGUAAAGAGCUCGUAGGCGGUGUGUCGCGUCGGCCGUGAAAACCUGCAGCUUAACUGUGGGCUUGCGGUCGAUACGGGCAUCACUGGAGUUCGGCAGGGGAGACUGGAAUUCCUGGUGUAGCGGUGAAAUGCGCAGAUAUCAGGAGGAACACCGGUGGCGAAGGCGGGUCUCUGGGCCGAUACUGACGCUGAGGAGCGAAAGCGUGGGAGC
rnacentral:rRNA from 1 species